rnacentral:rRNA from 1 species
GAUGACGCUGGCGGCGUGCCUAAUCCCUGCAAGUCGAGCGAACAGACGAGGAGCUUGCUCCUUUGACGUUGGCGGCGGACGGGGUAGUAACACGUAGGUAACCUACCUAUAAGAGUGGGCUAACUUCGGGAAACCGGAGUUAAUACCGGAUAAUAUUGCGGACCGCAUGGUUCGAUAGUGAAAGAUGGCUUUGCUUUCACUUAUAUAUGGAUCUGCGCCGUAUUAGCUAGUUGGUAAGGUAACGGCUUACCAAGGCAACGAUACGUAGCCGAACUGAGAGGGUGAUCGGCCACACUGGAACUGAGACACGGUCCAGACUCCUACGGGAGGCAGCAGUAGGGAAUCUUGCGCAAUGGGCGAAAGCCUGACGGAGCAACGCCGCGUGAGUGAUGAAGGUCUUCGGAUCGUAAAACUCUGUUAUUAGGGAAGAACAAACGUGUAAGUAACUGUGCACGUCUUGACGGUACCUAAUCAGAAAGCCACGGCUAACUACGUG